GGACGUUGAUAGGCUGGGUGUGGAAGUGCAGUAAUGCAUUAAGCUAACCAGUACUAAUUGCUCGUGCGGCUUGACCCU
rnacentral:rRNA from 1 species